ACUUCCUGUUGUGUGGCCCAGACAGGGCACUGUCUGUGGCCCCAGGGGUUGAGGACCCCUGGCUUUAACAACAGAAAGGGAGGGAAUUGGGAUCUGAAGACGUUGCAUUCGAGGUCUCGGGGCUCCUGAUGAGCAGCCUCGGCCUGACCUGGGGCAGGUGUGAUGUCUGCGGCUCACCAUCUCCACCCUGCCUGCUGUGGAAUCUCCACAACGACAGGUGCUUUGGAGGCCAGAGUGCAUGCGUACGGGCCCUGCACACGCUGAAUGUCACUGGGAACAAGGACACACCCCGCUUCCAGGAGAAGAUAGAACAUGUCGACCCCUUUUGCUCUCGUUCUGUUGCCCAGGCUGGAGUUCAGUGGCAUGAUCUUGGCUCACUGCAGCCUCGAACUCACAGGCUUAGGUGAUCCUCCCACCUCAGCCUCCUCAGUAGCUGGGACUACAGAGCCAUCCCCAGUGCAGGACAUGCUAUUGACUUCCAUGAGACAAACACCUACUUGGAAAUCAGGUUUUUUCUGUACCUUUUGAAGGAGCAGGAAUUUCCCAGCAUUUCCUGGACAAAGACGGAGAGGAUGGCCAGAAGCAGACCCAGGAGGAGCUUCGGAACUGCACGGGGCAGGUGCAGCCUGGGGGUGGCACGGACCACAGAACACAAGAGGCAUCCAGGAGUCAGAUGCAGCAGAUAGAGGCCGCGUGCCUCACCGCCUGUGAAAUGCAGGGAGAGGAGGAUGUUUAUGUCACUGAGCCCAUCGGGCACAGCAUGGAAGUAUGUGACAUCCAUGGUUGACACUAGGAAGACAGCACUUGAGUUAGGCCUAUGAAGGGUGGAUCAUGACCUUGGGCUUUUGUGCAAAGAUGACACUCCUAUGCGUGGCCGUGUCCUCAAAUGCAUUGACAUUUAGCAUAAUGUUUUUAAGGUCCACCUAUGUUGUAGCCUUUAAAAAAAUCCAGGUGUCCUCAGGAGGUGUGAGUCCAGGGAUACCGCAAACGAUGCUUGUUCACUACCAGAAUGGGACCCUGGGAGGAAGAAGGCGUACAAAGUGUGUGAGCUCUGGGAGGGAAGAGAUAUCUCGUUGAGAGAAUCCCAAGGGUGUCAGAGGCUUGGAGAUCAUCCAGUAAGGAAACGAAGGCGCAAGCGUCGAUGUGGCUGUCUCUGGGUCCUAGGACAGGGCCUGUCCCCCCUGCCAGGGUGGUGCUGGCUCUUGGCCGCCUGCCAUCUUCCCUGCCUCACUGACCCAGCAAGACAAAGGUACAGAGAGAGUGUCCCCUCCUUUCAGACAGCGAGGCUGGGCAUCGUCAGGUUCCACACUGACGUGGAGCCCCUCUCCAUCAAGGCUUGGCCAGCAAAGGCCUGUGGUGGAGAAAGGUACUGAGAAUUGUGGAACCCGUGUAGGGCAGUGGCCCCGAUGUGUGGGCAUGGGGGGCAUUUCCCUCCCUUUUUGGUACCUCCUCAGGGUCCGCAGUGUGGUCCUGGGACUGCCUUCAUGGGCAUCAUAGGAAAGCCACACGGCAAGGCCCAGGCUGACCAUCUAAUCGGAGGACAGUACCCCUCGCUUCCUGCAGACCCCGGGCGGGCAUGUGGCACCCCAGUGAGGGGAAGAAGGGGCCAUGCCCCGACGGGUGCCGAGACCCACCUCCCGUGCUCUCCCUUCCUGUGGGGGCCUCCCUGCAGCUCCUCCCGGCGCCUCUUUGCAGCAGAAUCCCACGCAUUGCACCUUUCUUGAGCCCCUCCCUUCUUUCUUGGGUACUUGCCUGGUCUGGCAGCGGCCCUGACAGCUGGGCAUGGGGGCCUAUUCCACCUGGAUCUGCUUCGGGUUAAAUGGUCAUCAGUGAUGCACACUGACCCUUUUUUGUAAGUGUUGCUGUCUCUGGGUAACAUAUUUAUUUUUAUGGGGUCUCGUUCUGAUACCUCGGACGUCACCAUGGCACAGGCGCACCUCUGCAGAUGUCGGGGGCAGGUGGGUGUUUGCGUUCCAUUGAAACCUGUCUGUGCUUGUCAGAGGAUGGCCAGAAGCAGACCCAGGAGGAGCUUCGGAACUGCACUAGGCAGGUGCAGCCUGGGGGUGGCACGGACCACGGAACACAAGAGACAUCCAGCAGGCAGAUGUAGUAGAUAGAGGCCGCGUGCCUCACUGCCUGUGAAAUGCAGGGAGAGGAGGGUGUUUGUGUCACUGAGCCGCUCAGGGAGCAGAGUUUCUGAGUCAGUUUAGACAAGACACACUCCCGUGGUGGCUCUGGGGCCAUGUUCUCCUGUGCCUGGUCACUGCAGGGGGGGCUGUGGCAUCCCUCCGUCUGCAGCCACGGCAGCAGGAGAGCCACAUCAGUAGAACUCAGUGACUCCAACAACGGGGCAUCCUGGCCUGGGGAGGUCCGCCGCAGACCUGUGCUUCAGGACACGGAAGUGGCAUGUUUGAGAAGGGACUAGACCUGGGCAGCCGUUAGGUUCAGCCCUGCUUUGACAGGUGUGGCUCGAGGAAUCCAGCGCCAUCAGCCGGGGCAGCGCAGGCGGGAGGAGCUGGGCCUCUCACUCCCGGCAGGGCCCUGUCACUCCUGCUGCUGCUGAAUCUGUGUGUUCUGUUCCCUCAGAAGAGAAUUCUGGUCCUUUUCCCCUGGGAUUGAGGUCUCCUGGGCUCAGUCUGCAGUGGGAAACCCGGUAAGAGGAGCCCCCCGCACUGCCCCACUUUCCAGAUCCUUUCUCCAUCAGUACCAGGGGCUGCAGCAGCGGUGCCCAAAUCGCCCUCAGCCUCCCUUUCUGCUCUGCCGACUCCUGGGACACGGCCCUCCACCGUUCCCCAGCCUCUGGGCACCCCGGCUCGCCACAGUGGCCCUUGGUGCCUCUGGACUGGUCCUGAGUGUGUGCCGGCAGCCUCUGGCUUUUGAGGCAAUGCUUUCCUGACAAUACAUCUGUGGGUUGAGUGGGUGGAAACUGAAUCGCCGACUUACGUUUAUUUUCUUUUUUGCUUUUGGAAUUUUUUUUUCCUGAGCUGAAAUUCACAUAACAUAAAACUAACCAUUUCAAAAUGAAGAAUUCAGCAGCAAUUAGUACUUACACAAGGUUUUCCAGCCACCAUCUCUACCUACUUGUAACACAUUUCCCUCACCCCAAGAGGAAACCCCAAGCUGGGCAUGGUGGUGCGUGCCUGUGGUCCCAGCCAGUCAGGUCCCAGCUGCUCGGGAGGCUGAGGUGGGAGGAUCACUUGAGCCCAGGAGGUCGAGGUUGCAGUGAGCCGUGAUCGUGCCACUGCACUCCAGCCUGGGCAACAGAGCGAGACCCUGUCUCUAAAAACAAAAACAGAAGGAAACCCUGAGCCUGCGAAACAAAAGGAAACCCUGACCCCAUGAACAGUCUCUCCUCAUUCUGCCUCCCCACAGUCCCUGGCUGCCGCUCAUCUGCUUUCUGUCCAUGGAUCACCUAUUCUGGGUGUUUCAUGUACAUGGAAUUGUAUAAUAUGUGGCCUUUUGUGCCCAGUUUCUCGCACUAAGCAUAACAUUUUCAAGGUUCAUCUAUGUUGUCACGUGUAUCACUGCUUCAGGACUUUUUUUGCUUUUUUGUUUUUGAGAUGGAGUCUUGCUCCAUCACCCAGGCUGGAGUGCAAUGGUACAAUCUCGGCUCACUGCAACCUCCGCCUCCCAGGUUCAAGCGAUUCUCCUGCCUCAGCCUCCUGAGUAGCGGGGAUUACAGGCGUCCGCCACCACGCCUGGCUAAUUUUUUUAUAUUUUUAGUAGAGAUGGGAUUUCACCAUGUUGGCCAGACUGGUCUCAAACUCCUGACCUCAGGUGAUCCACCCGCCUCUGCCUCCCAAAGUGCUGAGAUUACAGGCGUGAGCCACUGUGCCUGGCCGGGAUGUUUUAAGAAUGAAUAAUGUUCAUGUGUAUGAAUAGACCACACUUUGUUUAUCCAUCCGUCUGUUGAUGGACACCUGGGUUGCUUCCAUCUUUUAGUGACUAUAAAUAAUGAUGCUAUGAGUAUAUGUGUACCAGUUUUUGAGUACCAGUUUUCAGUUCUUUUGGGUGUAUACCUAGGAGCGGAAUUGCUGGGUCAUACGGUAAUUCUAUGUUUAACUUUUUAAGGAACAACCAAACUGUUUUUCAUAGCAGCUGCACCAUUUUUCAUUCCCACCAGCAAUGUAUGAGCGUCCUAAUUUCUCCACAUCCUCACCAACUCUUGUUAUUUUCAGUUUUCUUUUUUUAAAUUGUAGUUACCCUAGAGGUUGUAAAGUGGUAUCUCAUUGUUGUUCUGAUUUGCAUUUUCUUAAUGACUGGUGAUGUUGAACAUCUUUUCAUGUGCUUAUUGGCCAUUUAUAGAUCUCCUUUGGAGAAAUAUCUAUUAGGUCCUUCGAUCAUUUUAAAAUUGGGUUGUUCGUCUUUGCUAUUGACUUGUAAGAAUUCCUUUAUAUUCCAGAUGCUAGAUCCUUAUCAGAGAGAUGAUUUGCAAACGUUUUCUCCAACUCUGUGGGUAGCCUUUUCACUGUCUUGAUAAUGCCCUUUGAUGCACAGGCGUAUUUCUCAAGUGAUUUUAUUCCCACAAGGCUAAACGUUACCAUAUUUCUCAUACUUCACUUUUCUGACAAAAUCCUGCUGAAAACUUUAACAAUAUUAUUGAAGUUUGGUUUGAGCCUUUUCCCCCAAUAAAACACACAGUCCUCAAGGCUUUGAUUUAAUUUAAUAAUUAAAUACUUGAAUCCCUGCACACCCUUGCACUGCUGGGGGAGACAGGGAGAUGUGAGGAGCUCUCCAGUGGCACUGCCACCUAAAGGCAACGUGGCUGCACGUGACCAAAUACGUCACUGGCUGUCAGGCAACGAAGUGGUCCAGUGGAUUCACUGGGGUGGGCAUGAUAGUUCCAACCAACCAGAGCUGGAUGCACAUGAGCCUGCACACACUCUUUAGCCCACCUGAUUGUUUUCUACUAUAAAACUCAAGGCAUAUGUAAAAUAGUCACGGAUACCUUAAGGAAGGCCCCUGUUAGGUUUAUGGUGACUUCAGGGUGGGUUGACUUCUUUAUGAUCAACCUAGACUUCCACUCCCUCCCUGGGCAAAGAGCUGGCCCAGCACUCCAAGUAGGGAGCUCUUUAUGGAUAUUGAUCGCUGCUCUGGAGAUGAGCUAGGACCAGACUGGAAGCAUGAGUUGCGGGGCUGCUGGGGUUAAACGGGAAGAGAGCAUGCUGGUGGGGGCUGCCAGGAGAGCUUGAUGAGGGAGCAGUUCUCUGAAUGGGAGACUUGUUACUUGCACACAGAGCCUUCAAUGACUGUGACAUUUUGCUCUAUGUCACAGGCUCCUGGGGCCUACAGAAAGGAGCUGGAGGUGCCUAGUGCAGGCUGGGAGGCCUCCUUUAUUGAGGUGACAUCCCUGGAUGCUGGCUUGGCGGAGGUUGGGGAGAACGCUGCCUCCCUGGAAUAGAAGAUGCCUUGGAAGCCCUGGGUGCAGGCUGGCCGACCCUGCCUGAGCUGCCUGUCUUCAUUCCAUGGCUCUGCUUGUUAGAGGAGGAAGUUAGGCAGACAUGAGUGGCGCCCACCAGCCCAGGAAUGUCAGGUGACCAUCAGGUGAUGGUCAGGCAGUUGUUAAACUGUCUCUCUGAAAUGAUCAUUGGUUGCAGCUCACACCAGGGGAAGAUGGUCUCCCAAUAAAUAAAAAAACACCUGAAACUGGUGAUCAGCAGCUUCCCGAUAAGCUCUCGAGUUGGGCGAGUGGGCUCAAGCGUGCGCACUAAGAGGCAAAAUGGCGGAUGUAUGAACUUCCUCUGGGGGCAUUCAACCAGUAAAGGAAAACCGCCCCUAGAGAGCAUGCGCACAACCUCAGUCAACUCACUACACAUGCAAUUACCCUCCUGAGUGCUGACCAACACUGCUGCAUGGGGCUGUUGAGCAACAGCCCGCCCCAAGGGAAGAACCGAGGGAGGAGAAGAGAAAACUCCAGAGCCGUGCCAACGGAUAAACCCCACGCCCAGGGCUGAGCGGUCACUUGGAUCUCUCACGUGGCGCACUCAGCCCUCUUCCAAGUAUACUUUAACUUCCUUUCACUCCUGCUCUAAAACUUUUUCAUAAACCCUCACUCCUGUUCUAAAACGUGCCUCAAUCUCUCCCUCUACCUUAAACCUACUUCUGCUCCAGAUUCUUUCCACUGAGGAGGCAAGGAUGGAGUUGCUGCUGACCCGUGCAGAUUUGCUGCUGGUAACAUACUCAUGGGCAAAGUCUGAAAAACCUCUUCCUGCCCUGGGCAAGGCAGAUGGGGCAGCCCAGCAGGCUGGCUUUGCCCACCGUCUCCGAUAUCAUCCAACACAGUCAGCCAGGUUGUGUGGCCCUCUCAUCUACAUUCUCAUUUGCCAACAAGAUGGUGUGGGCUAUGCUGUCUUUGCACAGCGAUCUGAUCCCAGGGACAUUUGUGUGGGUGUGUGCCCGGGAGCUGCAUGUCUGCAGGUUCAGAUUGGGGUCAGCUUUGCUGGUGAGUGUGGCUUCCUGCCAUGGCACCAAAGAAGAGGGCUGGCGGAUUAGUCCUGUUGUCUCUCAUAGCUUUGUAGGGACACAGCGGGCCAUGUGGACUGACAGCUGGAGACUUCAUAAAGAUGGCCUAGAAAAUUAGGACACUGUCCUGUUGACAAAGCCCCUAGGCCUGCCCCCAUCAGGCCUCAUGGGUCCUUUUCAGGCCUAAGCCAGGGUUCUGAAAUCAUCUGUAAUGUGAAUUUAUAUUUCUAGGCCACAUUCGCUGCAUCCUUUCCAGCAAGAUGUCAUUCUGAGAUUUUUGUCAUUCCUGGGCGUUAUGAGGACUGCCAAGGGACACAAUUCCAUGGGAGGAAAGUUUUCUUCUAAGCUGCAAGCCAGCUCUGGCUUCUGGAGUUUCUCCUUAGGAUUGCAAGACAGUAGUUCCCUGUCCUUUAGGUCUUCUCCAGAAAUACCUUAAAAUAGCAAAUAAAAUAAGAUAUAAGCAAACAAAACCUGAAGUUAAC
rnacentral:lncRNA from 1 species